CAGUAGCCGCGGGAAUACGGAGGGUGCAAGCGUUAAUCGGAAUUACUGGGCGUAAAGCGUGCGUAGGCGGUUUGUUAAGUCUGCUGUGAAAUCCCCGGGCUCAACCUGGGAAUGGCAGUGGAUACUGGCAAGCUAGAGUGUGUCAGAGGAUGGUGGAAUUCCCGGUGUAGCGGUGAAAUGCGUAGAGAUCGGGAGGAACAUCAGUGGCGAAGGCGGCCAUCUGGGACAACACUGACGCUGAGGCACGAAAGCGUGGGGAGCAAACAGGAUUAGAGACCCCGGUAGUCCCUGUCUCUUAUAC
rnacentral:rRNA from 1 species